rnacentral:rRNA from 1 species
AGAACGAACGCUGGCGGCAUGCCUAACACAUGCAAGUCGAACGAAGGCUUCGGCCUUAGUGGCGCACGGGUGCGUAACGCGUGGGAACCUGCCCCUUGGUUCGGAAUAACAGUUAGAAAUGACUGCUAAUACCGGAUAAUGACUUCGGUCCAAAGAUUUAUCGCCGAGGGAUGGGCCCGCGUAGGAUUAGCUUGUUGGUGAGGUAAAAGCUCACCAAGGCGACGAUCCUUAGCUGGUCUGAGAGGAUGAUCAGCCACACUGGGACUGAGACACGGCCCAGACUCCUACGGGAGGCAGCAGUGGGGAAUAUUGGACAAUGGGCGAAAGCCUGAUCCAGCAAUGCCGCGUGAGUGACU